rnacentral:rRNA from 1 species
UACAGAGGUCUCAAGCGUUGUUCGGAUUCAUUGGGCGUAAAGGGUGCGUAGGCGGCGCGGUAAGUCGGGUGUGAAAUCUCGGAGCUUAACUCCGAAACUGCAUUCGAUACUGCCGUGCUUGAGGACUGGAGAGGAGACUGGAAUUCACGGUGUAGCAGUGAAAUGCGUAGAUAUCGUGAGGAAGACCAGUGGCGAAGGCGGGUCUCUGGACAGUUCCUGACGCUGAGGCGCGAAGGCCAGGGGGAGCAAACGGGG